rnacentral:rRNA from 1 species
AGAGUUUGAUCCUGGCUCAGGACGAACGCUGGCGGCGUGCCUAACACAUGCAAGUCGAGCGAUGAAACCCUUCGGGGUGGAUUAGCGGCGGACGGGUGAGUAACACGUGGGUAACCUGCCUCAAAGAGGGGAAUAGCCUCCCGAAAGGGAGAUUAAUACCGCAUAAUAUGUUUUGGUCGCAUGACCGAGACAUCAAAGGAGUAAUCCGCUUUGAGAUGGACCCGCGGCGCAUUAGCUAGUUGGUGAGGUAACGGCUCACCAAGGCGACGAUGCGUAGCCGACCUGAGAGGGUGAUCGGCCACAUUGGAACUGAGACACGGUCCAGACUCCUACGGGAGGCAGCAGUGGGGAAUAUUGCGCAAUGGGGGAAACCCUGACGCAGCAACGCCGCGUGAAUGAUGAAGGCCUUCGGGUUGUAAAGUUCUGUCUUCUGGGACGAUAAUGACGUACCAGAGAGAUCC